rnacentral:lncRNA from 1 species
UUGUCUAUAUGCAUAUGUACAAAAAUUGCAACUUGGGAUGCUUAUAUAUAUUAUUAUACGCAGAGAGCAUCCUUAACAAGUUGCAUCCGUACAUUUGAAUAUUUGAACCAACCAAUUAAGUUGUUCUCUCUCUCUCUCUCUCUAUAUAUAUAUAUAUAUAUAUAUACUCAGUUAGAUAUCUAAGUAUUUCUACCAUCAAAUAUUAAAAGUUAUGAAAAAUAGUUUACGGAUGAGUACGGACAAUGGAGUCAACCUCCAUCGCCAUCCGGACACCAAAUAAAACAAGUAUGAUGAAGCAUGAGUACUCACAUAUACACACAUAUAUAUUACAUAUAUAUAUAUAUUGCAUAAUUUAUAAAAAAGAACAAGUUGUGAUCAUGCAGAUCGAUUGUGACUUGUUUAAAGUCAAACAAGAGAUAUAUUAAGAUAACAACUAAUUAUAAAAAAAUUGCAGAAAAAGCUUGCAGGGAAGGAAUCUCAAAGAAACUUGCUUAUCAGAAGUAGUUCUACUGAUCAUCAUCAUAAUUAAUGAUAUCAAAAUUAGAUACAUACUAAUUAAGUUGAUGAACAUUGGAGAUGGUUGAUACACUGGUUUAUUUGUGUCAAUGUUAGUUUGUACCCUAGCCUAUUUAAGUGGCAGAAAAUAUCUAAAAUGAACCCUUACAUACUACAGUUUUUUUUUUUUGGAUUGACUCAUAUUUAAGUGGAUUUGAUUAAUGGUCAGUAUUAUGCCAUAUUCUUAAUAGCAAACACAGAAGCUCAUAUCCUGUUGAGGGUUUUGCUCUUCAAUGAGCUAGCGGGUGUCCCACUUGCCGGUGAACGGGCGGAUGUCGUAGGGGUCAUGGCCCCUAGAAGCCAGCCGUCAUGGGUAUUUGAAUUUGGAGAUUUAUUAGCAGUCUGAUGUUCGGUUUGUCUAGUUUUUUGGGUUUUAUGGGUUUGAACUCAUAUUAUAGCAGUUAAGAUUUUUAGUUGCUAUAUAAAUUAACUGAAAAACAUGACAGCGACUUUUGAAGUUUUAUAGUUAUUUAAAAGAGAGAGUUAGAAUAUUUAUUUUGUUAUCAACUCUAAGCACCAUACGGAGGGCAAAAUUAAGAAUAAAUAUAUUUUUUACUAACAAUCUG